rnacentral:rRNA from 1 species
CACCGCCCGUCACACCAUGGGAGUUUGUUGCACCAGAAGCAGGUAGCUUAGCCUUCGGGAGGGCGCUUGCCACGGUGUGGCCGAUGACUGGGGUG